UACGGAAGGCAGCAGUGGGGAAUAUUGCACAAUGGGCGAAAGCCUGAUGCAGCUAUGCCGCGUGUAUGAAGAAGGCCUUAGGGUUGUAAAGUACUUUCAUCGGGGAGGAAAAAACAAAACUAAUAAUUUUAUUUCUUGACGUUACCCGAAAAAGAAGCACCGGCUAACUCCGUGCCAGCAGCCGCGGUAAUACGGAGGGUGCUAGCGUUAAUCAGAAUUACUGGGCGUAAAGAGCACGUAGGUGGUUUUUUUAAAGUCAGAUGUGAAAUCCCUGGGCUUAACCUAGGAACUGCAUUUUGAAACUGAAAUACUAGAGUAUCGUAGAGGAGGUAGAAUUCUAGGUGUAGCGGUGAAAUGCGUAGAUAUCUGGAGGAAUACCUGUGGCGAAAGCGGCCUCCUAAACCGAAUACUGACACUGAGGUGCGAAAGCGUGGGGAGCAAACAGGGAUUAGAUACCCGU
rnacentral:rRNA from 1 species